CCCCUCGUAGUUCAAUGGAUCAGAACUGCGGACUUCUAAGCCGUCGAUGUUGGUUCGAUUCCAACCGAGGGGA
rnacentral:tRNA from 1 species